rnacentral:rRNA from 1 species
GACGAACGCUGGCGGCGUGCCUAAUACAUGCAAGUCGAGCGCAGGAAACUGACGGAACUCUUCGGAGGGAAGGCAGUGGAAUGAGCGGCGGACGGGUGAGUAACACGUAAGGAACCUGCCUCAAGGAUUGGGAUAGCUCCGAGAAAUCGGAGCUAAUACCGGAUAGUUCAACGGACCGCAUGGUCCGCUGAUGAAAGGCGCUCCGGCGUCACCUUGAGAUGGCCUUGCGGUGCAUUAGCUAGUUGGUGGGGUAACGGCCCACCAAGGCGACGAUGCAUAGCCUACCUGGGAGGGUGAUCGGCCAAACUGGGACUGAGACACGGCCCGGACUCCUACGGGAGGCAGCAGUAGGGAAUCUUCCACAAUGGACGAAAGUCUGAUGGAGCAACGUCGCGUGAGUGAUGAAGGUUUUCGGAUCGUAAAACUCUGUUGUAAGGGAAGAACACGUACGAGAGGAAAUGCUCGUACCUUGACGGUACCUUACGAGAAAGCCACGGCUAACUACGUGCCAGCCGCCGCAGUAA